AGACCACAUUCAAAACCAACAUGUUCUCUGUAGCUCUGCUGCUGCUGCUGGCUGCUGGAUCCUGUGUGAAGUGUGAACAGCUGACACAGCCAGCCUCUGUGACUGUGCAGCCAGGUCAGCGUCUGACCAUCUCCUGUCAGGUCUCUUAUUCUCUUGGCUACUGGACAGGUUGGAUCAGAGAGGCUGCAGGGAAAGGACUGGAGUGGAUUGGGGUGAAAGAUACCUCAGGCUCUCACUAUAAAGAUUCACUGAAGAACAAGUUCAGUAUUGAAUUAGACACUUCAAGCAAAACAGUGACUCUAAAUGGACAGAACAUGCAGCCUGAAGACUCUGCUGUGUAUUACUGUGCCAGACACUCACAGUAA